rnacentral:rRNA from 1 species
ACACUCCUACGGGAGGCAGCAGUGGGGAAUAUUGCACAAUGGGCGCAAGCCUGAUGCAGCCAUGCCGCGUGUAUGAAGAAGGCCUUCGGGUUGUAAAGUACUUUCAGCGGGGAGGAAGGCGAUAAGGUUAAUAACCUUGUUGAUUGACGUUACCCGCAGAAGAAGCACCGGCUAACUCCGUGCCAGCAGCCGCGGUAAUACGGAGGGUACAAGCGUUAAUCGGAAUUACUGGGCGUAAAGCGCACGCAGGCGGUCUGUCAAGUCGGAUGUGAAAUCCCCGGGCUCAACCUGGGAACUGCAUUCGAAACUGGCAGGCUAGAGUCUUGUAGAGGGGGGUAGAAUUCCAGGUGUAGCGGUGAAAUGCGUAGAGAUCUGGAGGAAUACCGGUGGCGAAGGCGGCCCCCUGGACAAAGACUGACGCUCAGGUGCGAAAGCGUGGGGAGCAAACAGGAUUAGAAACCCUGGUAGUCCC